UGUUAGCGGCCUGCCUGCCUGUCCGCUGUAUGUCCGCGUCACUGGGUGUUCCUCCGCUUGGUGUCUGGUGUGCGCUUGUAAUUAAUGUAUUAACUGAACGGCGCAUAGACUCACGGUUUUCGCGUGAAUGAGUGAAAAAAGAGGUGGUGCGAGGUGUUGCAUCAAAACUUGUGGCAACAAGUCAAUUUUUACGUCGGGAGUCUCUUAUUUUCGCUUCCCGAAAGAUGAAAAGCGUCGCUGUGAGUGGGAGGCAGCGCUGCGCAAGGUCGAGUGGUCAAGUAAUUCGACACAGAGCAGAAUAUGUUCUGACCAUUUCGACACUGAGAUGUUCGACAUCAGGGCACGUCUGAUGCACGAGCUCGGACUUUCCGAAGAGCGAAAAAUGUUGGCGAGCCACGCUGUUCCUACGCUAUUCCGGGGUGCUCCAAAGCCAACUCAACGUGGCGCGUACGCCAAAAGAAGACGCAAAGAGAUUGUAGAUGAAGCUCUGAAGGAAGCAGAUGGACACGCUUGCUUUGAAGCGAACAGCUCCGUGGAGUCCCCCUCUACAGGGUGUACAAUGCUCGGGAGCGGUAACGCCACGCUGGUGAUCGCCACUCAACACAGCACGGAUGGCAGUGGAACCCAGGCAGAUGAAUCGCACUGCAGGUUUCCAACGCGCACCCAGACAGCUGCAUAACAGUCACCAGUGUCUCACCCUUCACCGAGGCAGUAUAUGGAGGCUGCUGCUCAGAUUAUUUUUCCUCCUGGGACACUCCAUGUGCAUCAACACCACUGCCUCAGUAUAUUGAUGUCAACAUACGCCACUUGAUGCUUAGUGACCCUAGUCUCGUUUGAUCAAGAUGACGUAGUGGAUCCAGUGGACCACCAUGAUACCACCUAUUAUCCGAACCAGUCUGAGGACUAUUAAGAAGAAAAUGACCGAGGCUGCAAUGAGCGACAGACACAAAGAAUGAGAACUGCGGUCUGAAUCAGUACUGGUGUGCCCACACGAGUGAAGACGAUGGAGACCUGUGCAUGGCUGGACCUGCGUAUGCAAUAUUGCUGGAAGGAAAUGUCAAGCAUAGGGAUGAUGGAUGGGGAGUUUCAUCGCCGGGGGCGACACUCUACCCUGUUGCUGGAGGUACAUGAAGCGGGGAAUGAAGUAAUGGGUCCCGUUACAUUGAGGAUCGAAGUCCUGUGGCGUCCAAAAAGGCGAAGAGAACCUUGAGGACAGAGCAUUGGUUCCUCCUAAUGGCCAGACUCCCUUUGGCAUGUAGAGGAGGUGGAGUUCCUCUACAUGAGUCCCGACCGACGGUGAUGGUAUGCCACGGAGAGGCGAUGACGGUGGCCUAUCUCCAUGGCCGCGCCGGUGGAACUGAGAAGCGGGUGCUCCACGCGCGUGGCCAUCGUUGUCGUCGUUGUCGUCGUCCAGCGUCCGCUACAGGCAUACACGGAGGGAAGAUACACGGAGGCAUACACGCUGGAGGGAAGAGCCGCUCCUUGUGUUUCCUUCCUCCAUGCUUCGAAUAGCGGCCAGCGCUUGGUUACUUCGCAAAAACAGGGGUUAACAGGUUAAACUGUUAACAGGGGUUUCAGAAUGCAUAUGUAAACAGGAAAACUAAUAAUAUGGUUACUAAAAUAACGAAGUUCCGAUGUAAUAGUGUGUAAUACAAAUUUUCAGUGUUGCCCGUUGUACUGGGGGUUGUUUGACACCAGGCGUCGCACCGCUCCACUACGCCGCAUCUUUCAUGGCAAAUUAAAAAUAUUUAUAGCGCGUUGUCGGUCGUAUGGUUCCGCAUAUGGUACUUAGAAGCAACAAAGUCUUUAGUCACAUCAUCGGCAUACCAUGCUUGUCUACUGCUUUACAGUACCUUUAAGUGAUCCCGGGAGAGAGGGAACGUUCCCGGAGCACCACCUUAACGCGCCCAAUUACGGCGAAUUCGGGUGGACAUUUCGUGGCAACACCGUCUAGAGCUCGGAAAUUGCCAGGUCGACGCUCGCGCUGGGUCAUGUGACCGUUGCCACCAGAACGUGCUAGUAUGGUGGGCUAGAAGGACUGGUGUGCUUACCGCCAUAUCCAAUACAUGGAAUGCACGAUGCCCCUGUUUUGAAGCCAAGCUCCCGAGCUCUGGCGCUAUGCGCUCGCUGCGAACCAAGCGGAUUCUCGUUGAACUAGUCCAACAUGUCCCGUGUGUGACGGUUUAUGUGUGCUUGACUAUUUUUAUAGCUAAUAUAUUUGGACCAGCACUACGUUGGUUUGCCGCACUGACUGUUUACUAGCAUCCGCAGUUUUUUGUAGCUAAACCACGUGACAUUUGCUAUCGUCACGUCUGCCUAGUCGACGAUCCCUGCAAGCGAAAGAUAUCGGAAUGUUGCGAAGCACGUGACCGCAUGUCGUAUCUUCGUUGGAUGAUGACAGACGUGUCGAAAAACAAAACGAAGAGCGGCUACUGCGUUUGAGAGCUCGCCUCCUUGAUGGUUUCUUUCUCUUCACUCUUUCUUUUCAGCCUAGAUUAUCGAGUUGCUGUGUACAGGAAGCUGGGAACAUUUUGUCACGGAACAUAGGCUGAUGGUGGAUUGUUGAACUAAAUUGUCAAUUAACUAUGGCGCUCUCCAUACAGUGUACAGGUUGGGACAAAAGUUUACGGAACACGCGAGCGUCGUACUUUCUCUUCGGUGCGA